rnacentral:rRNA from 1 species
GGGGAAUUGUUCGCAAUGGGCGCAAGCCUGACGACGCAACGCCGCGUGGAGGAUGAAGACCUUCGGGUCGUAAACUCCUUUCGAUCGAGACGAACCGCUUCCGGGUGAACAAUCCGGAGGUUUGACGGUACCGAGAGAAGAAGCCCCGGCUAACUCCGUGCCAGCAGCCGCGGUAAUACGGAGGGUGCGAGCGUUGUCCGGAAUCACUGGGCGUAAAGGGCGCGUAGGUGGCGUGAUAAGGGUGUGGUGAAAGCCCGGGGCUCAACCCCGGGUCGGCCAUGCCGACUGUCAGGCUGGAGUGCUGUAGGGGCAGGCGGAAUUCCGGGUGUAGCGGUGGAAUGCGUAGAGAUCCGGAGGAAGACCGGUGGCGAAGGCGGCCUGCUGGGCAGUUACUGACACUGAUGCGCGACAGCGUGGGGAGCAAAC